rnacentral:pre_miRNA from 1 species
UGUGCAAUUGUUGGAUGGUAUGCUAAGAAUAGAUUUAGUUUUGUAAGGAUCUGACAAACUGUUUUCUAAAGUGGCUGUGUCAUUUUCCAGUCCCACCAAUACU